ACUGCAUAUUGUUGGAGUUAAAUGCUUUUUAAAAGAAAAAUAUAAGAUUUAUUUAAUUUCCAGUGUUGGCAACCCAGUGUUGGGAAUACUGGAAGAGUUCCCACCUGGAAGUUAAUAAUAAAUAAUCAGGAACACAACCUAAAGCUGGGAGGGGUGAGGAGGGGCUUGGAGGUUGUGUCAAUCUAAACUGAGAUUUAAGAGGAUCUGCUCAUUGUCUCUCUUCAGCACCUGUGGAAGUUGGGAAGGCAAGCACACAGGUAAUCAUAUGUCAAGCAAGCAGUGUAUUCCCAUGGCAGUAACUUCCCUCAGAACUGAAGCCGGGGUCACAGGCAUCAAGCUCCUGUCUGAGACCUUUCAAAUGCUGCAGAAGAUGCUUCCUGCCCUAGAAAAAUUAGCUCAUCUCUCAGGAGGGACCAGACUGCAAAUUGUAGCACACAAACUGGGCCCAGGGCAGUGCUGGUGCAGGAGGAGCUGGCUGUGCUGAGGAGAUAAAGGCUGGGUAAAGGCUGGUUAAAGACUGGAUUGAGAGUGGAUGGAGGCUGGAUGGAGCGUAUUUUGGACCGCUGUGGAUUAGAGUCUCCGCUGUAAAGGAGAGGGGCUCAAACGUUCUCAGUGUCAUCAGUUCAAGUGUAAGCGAUGCCUCGGAGCCUGAGCUGAGCAACCGUGCCAUCCUCCGGCUGGGAUGCGCAGCACCGGGAGCUCUGCGGGCACCGGGAGCCCCAGCAGCUCCUGCUGCAGGCUCCGAGCCGCCCCGAUCCCGCACGGAUUUGUGGCUAUCACAGGAAGCUUCCCUCUGAGAAAUUUCCUAUCCGCUGCCGGAAUUUAUUUUUUGGAAUCAAAACCGCGGAAGGAAAAUAAAUCUGGAGGGAAAGGCUAUUAUUGCAGUUCAUGAGCUGAUAUUUUAUCUGAAAGCAAGAGAGAUAAAGAAAAGCAUUAGGAAAAAGUCACCCAGGGAAGCUGGAGCUGGCCUCGGCAAACACUGCCAAAUAUUUGCAGGAGAAUUCUGCAGAUCACCAACUGCUUAGAUCUACAAUCUCCCAGGGCAGGAAUUAAAACACGGGUUGGAUGAUCACUCUCAUAUAAUUUUAUUUCUUGGGCCCAGCCAGCUACCUAGAGAAAGAGGUAAAACUGAACAAAAACUGUACAUAAAGCAUGAACUGAACCCAAAGUGAUCCUGCAAGGCUAUGAAGUCUCUUCUCUGAAGACAGAGGUGCUUUUUGUUCUUAUACUGGAAUAAGUGCAAGAGUGUUGGGAUGCUUUUGCACCCAUAUAUUUGGUAUAGAACCAUUGCCUUGGCCCAACAUGAAAUAAAAGGCCCAAUUUCUCCCCUCUUAGUUACCCUACAUAUUUCACUGUUGGUAUCAUGGUUAUUGUUAGCCAAGAUUUGUUGCUUGUUUUUGUCCGAAAACUGUCAACUUUCAUCAGCCCAAACUCUGCUUUUUGCUCUGUCUAGGGGCUUCUUUCGAGGCAGCUAAUGAAGGGAAGAAAGCCUAUCUUCAGGAUAUCAGAUCUUUUAAAUAGGGGUUAGCACCUCUGUUUCAUGAUUUUCUAUCAGAGAGAGUCUGAGAUCUGCUCCUUUGGAAAAAUAAUUUCUUACGGACCAGAGCAAGACAGUAAGUUCAACUAACAAAAUGAAAGCUUGAAGCCUGCAACCUGACUGGUGUACACAAUUUCUCUUCUUCUGCAAGGUUAAAUUCACAAAAUGCAUAAAACCUGGAAACUGGUCCCUCUUUUGCCUCAAAACCUCUCCUUCAGGGAUCUGCAGCCCAUCUGAGAGCCCAAGAGCCCAGGGAUGUUUGUGGCAGCCCCUUGCUGGGACUGCCCAGGAACCAGGAGACAGUGGUGGGUUUACAGACAACUUGCAUCAUGCAACUCAUUAUUGAAGCCCACAAGAGUAAACUGGGAAGUUUCCAAUGGAAAUGAGCUAGUUUCCUAUGAAUAUUAAUCCUUCACAAGGUAUGGAUGAUAAUUACUGUAAUCCAAGAGGAUAUUCUUAGAAGAUAUUGCAUCUCCAGGGUGAAAAGGUCUCAGCUGUGACACUGAAUCCUAACAGUAUCAUGUUUGAUUUA